rnacentral:rRNA from 1 species
GGCCUUCGGGUUGUAAACCUCUUUCAGUAGGGAAGAAGCGAAAGUGACGGUACCUGCAGAAGAAGCGCCGGCUAACUACGUGCCAGCAGCCGCGGUAAUACGUAGGGCGCAAGCGUUAUCCGGAAUUAUUGGGCGUAAAGAGCUCGUAGGCGGUUUGUCGCGUCUGCCGUGAAAGUCCGGGGCUCAACUCCGGAUCUGCGGUGGGUACGGGCAGACUAGAGUGAUGUAGGGGAGACUGGAAUUCCUGGUGUAGCGGUGAAAUGCGCAGAUAUCAGGAGGAACACCGAUGGCGAAGGCAGGUCUCUGGGCAUUAACUGACGCUGAGGAGCGAAAGCAUGGGGAGCGAACAGGAUUAGAUACCCUGGUAGUCCAUGCCGUAAACGUUGGGCACUAGGUGUGGGGGACAUUCCACGUUUUCCGCGCCGUAGCUAACGCAUUAAGUGCCCCGCCUGGGGAGUACGGCCGCAAGGCUAAAACUCAAAGGAAUUGACGGGGGCCCGCACAAGCGGCGGAGCAUGCGGAUUAAUUCGAUGCAACGCGAAGAACCUUACCAAGGCUUGACAUGAACCGGAAACGCCUGGAGACAGGUGCCCCGCUUGCGGUCGGUUUACAGGUGGUGCAUGGUUGUCGUCAGCUCGUGUCGUGAGAUGUUGGGUUAAGUCCCGCAACGAGCGCAACCCUCGUUCUAUGUUGCCAGCACGUGAU